rnacentral:rRNA from 1 species
UACGUAGGGUGCAAGCGUUGUCCGGAAUUAUUGGGCGUAAAGAGCUCGUAGGCGGUCUGUCGCGUCUGCUGUGAAAACUCAGGGCUUAACCCUGAGCUUGCAGUGGGUACGGGCAGACUAGAGUGCGGUAGGGGAGACUGGAAUUCCUGGUGCAGCGGUGAAAUGCGCAGAUAUCAGGAGGAACACCGGUGGCGAAGGCGGGUCUCUGGGCCGUAACUGACGCUGAGACGCGAAAGCUAGGGGAGCAAACGGG